rnacentral:rRNA from 1 species
GGGUUGUGAGGUUAAGCGACUAAGCGUACACGGUGGAUGCCCUGGCAGUCAGAGGCGAUGAAGGGCGUGCUAAUCUGCGAUAAGCGCCGGUAAGGUGAUAUGAACCGUUAUAACCGGCGAUACCCGAAUGGGGAAACCCAGUGUGAUUCGUCACACUAUCAUUAACUGAAUCCAUAGGUUAAUGAGGCGAACCGGGGGAACUGAAACAUCUAAGUACCCCGAGGAAAAGAAAUCAACCGAGAUUCCCCCAGUAGCGGCGAGCGAACGGGGAGGAGCCCAGAGCCUGAAUCAGCAUGUGUGUUAGUGGAAGCGUCUGGAAAGGCGCGCGAUACAGGGUGACAGCCCCGUACACAAAAGCGCAUGUGCUGUGAGCUCGAUGAGUAGGGCGGGACACGUGGUAUCCUGUCUGAAUAUGGGGGGACCAUCCUCCAAGGCUAAAUACUCCUGACUGACCGAUAGUGAACCAGUACCGUGAGGGAAAGGCGAAAAGAACCCCGGCGAGGGGAGUGAAAAAGAACCUGAAACCGUGUACGUACAAGCAGUGGGAGCACCCUUCGGGGUGUGACUGCGUACCUUUUGUAUAAUGGGUCAGCGACUUAUAUUCUGUAGCAAGGUUAACCGUAUAGGGGAGCCGGAGGGAAACCGAGUCUUAAUUGGGCGUUAAGUUGCAGGGUAUAGACCCGAAACCCGGUGAUCUAGCCAUGGGCAGGUUGAAGGUUGGGUAACACUAACUGGAGGACCGAACCGACUAAUGUUGAAAAAUUAGCGGAUGACCUGUGGCUGGGGGUGAAAGGCCAAUCAAACCGGGAGAUAGCUGGUUCUCCCCGAAAGCUAUUUAGGUAGCGCCUCGUGAAUUCAUCUCCGGGGGUAGAGCACUGUUUCGGCUAGGGGGCCAUCCCGGCUUACCAACCCGAUGCAAACUGCGAAUACCGGAGAAUGUUAUCACGGGAGACACACGGCGGGUGCUAACGUCCGUCGUGAAGAGGGAAACAACCCAGACCGCCAGCUAAGGUCCCAAAGUCAUGGUUAAGUGGGAAACGAUGUGGGAAGGCCCAGACAGCCAGGAUGUUGGCUUAGAAGCAGCCAUCAUUUAAAGAAAGCGUAAUAGCUCACUGGUCGAGUCGGCCUGCGCGGAAGAUGUAACGGGGCUAAACCAUGCACCGAAGCUGCGGCAGCGAACGUAUCACCCAAGACAACUUUACGGAGUUGACGAUUGACGGAGCGAAGCGACGUCAAAGCGUUCAUUAAAGUCGAGUUGGCUUAGGGAUACGUUCGUUGGGUAGGGGAGCGUUCUGUAAGCCUGUGAAGGUGUGUCGUGAGGCAUGCUGGAGGUAUCAGAAGUGCGAAUGCUGACAUAAGUAACGAUAAAGCGGGUGAAAAGCCCGCUCGCCGGAAGACCAAGGGUUCCUGUCCAACGUUAAUCGGGGCAGGGUGAGUCGACCCCUAAGGCGAGGCCGAAAGGCGUAGUCGAUGGGAAACGGGUUAAUAUUCCCGUACUUGGUGUUACUGCGAAGGGGGGACGGAGAAGGCUAUGUUGGCCGGGCGACGGUUGUCCCGGUUUAAGCGUGUAGGUGUGUGUUCCAGGUAAAUCCGGUUCAC